rnacentral:lncRNA from 1 species
AGUCUCCACAUAAAAAUUCUAGAACUUACACUUCAUUGUAGUUGUAUCCUCUGAAUCAGUCCAAGAUGGGUUCCAGGACAUCCCCAAAUGACAUCAAAAUCUCCAGAUACUCAAGUCCCUGAUAUAAAAUGGUAUAACUUGAGGCAGGAGCAUCGCUUGAACCUGGGAGGCGGAGGUUGCAGUGAGCUGAGAUCGCGCCAUUGCACUCCAGCCUGGACAACAAGAGCUAAACUCAGUCUCAAAACAAAAAACAAAAAACCUCAUCUUUUACUUCUAACAAAAAAUAUUCUCUCAUAGGUUUUUUCUAAGUGAUAACAAGAAAAAAAGGUUGUGUUUGUGAUCCUACUUUGGAGCAGAUGAUGAGCUCAUUGUUUUCCUUGUUUUACAUAAAUUUAGAAAGGUGAGAGCAAUUCCCAGAGCCCCUUUUUUCAGAACUCUGCCAAUCACCAAUUCCAGUUAGCUUUAUAUCUUCAAUAUCUCAUGCUAGUCAAGUCACUUCUUUCCAUCACUGCCUCCUAGGACAUGAGUGUUCAGGGAACACUGUUAACAGCCCCAAAGUGAGAAAAAAGCCAAAUUCCCAUGAACUGAACAACAGAUGAAGAAAAUGGGGUCUUUCCAUACAAUGGAAUAUUAUUCAGCAACAAAAACGAAGUGCUGAUAGACACUGGAACACAGACUCAUCUUCAUUCCAUAAGGUUUAGCUAAUGUGUAAGUCUGGAUGAUAAAUGCCAUGAAGGCAGCUGGGCACAGCGGCAAAUGCCUGUAAUCCCAGCACUUUGGGAGGCUAAGGUGGGCAGAUCACGAGAUCAGGAGUGCGAGACCGACCUGGCCAAUAUGGUGAAACCCCAUCUCUACUAAAAAUACAAAAAUUAGUCGGGCAUGGUGGCAGGCCUGUAAUCCCAGCUACUCGGGAGGCUGAGACAGAAGAAUCGCUUGAACCUGGGAGGCAGAGGUUGCACUGAGCCGAGAUCCAUAUGAUCUUCUGAUUUGCUAGAUAUAUGGUGGAGAAAAUAAAUAUUAAAAAAUACAGCUACUAAGGAAGUCAAGGCACAAGAACUGCUUAAACCUGGGACGUGGAGGUUGCUUAUGUUCCUUGAAAUUAUACAAAGUAUGCUCUCUUAACACAAUGAAAUAAGAUUAGAAAUCAGUCAGAAAAUUUGAAAAUUUCCAAAUAUAUGGAAGUGAAGCCACACGAUCCUCAACAGGUCAAAGGGGAAACAAAAGGGAAUUAAAUACUUUUCUCUACUAAAAAUACAAAAUUAGCUGGGCGUGGUGGUGCAUGCCUGUAGCCCCAGCUACUUGAGAGGCUGAGGCAGAAUAAUCGCUUGAACCCGGGAGGCGGAGCUGGCAGUGAGCUGAGAUCACACCACUGCACUCCAGCCUGGGCCACAAGAAAAGAACUCCAUCUCAAAAUAAAUAAAUAAGUAAAAAUAAAAUGUUCUCAGCACAAAGAAUAUUUGAGGUGAUGGAUACACUAGUUACCCUGAUUUGAUCAUUCUACAAUAUAUGCGUGUAUUGAAACCUCACGCCCCAUAAGUAUAUACAAUUCUUAUUUUUCAGUUAAAAAUAAAAAACUGUAGUGAAAAUAAUCGUAGUGAACGUGCAAGGUUCUGUCCAUGGUGCUGAUCCCAAGAUCUCUUAGGGAAGAGGGACUCACACACCAGAGACAAAUGAGGAUGAAGAAAGGGAAAGUGGAUUUCCCCGUCCUUUGAACUACAUGAACUUCUCUCACCCAACUUUCUUCCAGGAGGGCAACAAAUGAAUAGAUCUAUUUCAUUCACCUUGUUCUUUUGUCUCUGCAGCUGUGGCACUAUCUUGUUGCACAGCUUGUGAAAUUCCUGCAAAAGAGAAGGGAGAAGAAUAAACACAAACAUACUGUGUAUAUUAUUCAAAUCAGAGAUGUUGGACACCCCAGAUAAACUUAGUCAUGCCAUAGUUAAUUUUCUGACCAGUUUAGAGCACAGAACCACUGGCUCAGCGCCAGGGCAGUGUGCGCCAGUAACAUAAGUACUAGAUUCAAGAUCCGACGAUUCAAAAUCAAAAGUAUUUCUAUACACUGGCAGUAAACAAAAUAAAAUGAACAAUGCCAGGCACAGUGGCUCACUCCUCUAAUACCAGCACUUUGGGAGGCCGAGGCAGGCGAAUCUUUUGAGGUCAGGGGUUUAAGACCAGCCUGGCCAACAUGGUGAAACCCCGUCUCUACUAAAAAUUCAAAAAAUUAGCCAGGCAUGGUGGCGUGUGCCUGUAAUCCCAUCUACUGGAAGGCUGAGGCAGGAGAAUUGCCUGAACCCAGGAGGCAGAGGUUUCAGUGAGCCGACAUCACACCACUCCAGCCUGGGCAACA